rnacentral:tRNA from 1 species
GAGGGUAUAGCUCAGUGGUAGAACACAUGCUUAGCAUGCAUGAGGUCCUGGGUUCAAUCCCCAGUACCUCCA